rnacentral:tRNA from 1 species
UGGGGCGUGGCCAAGUGGUAAGGCAUCUGGUUUUGGUCCAGACAUUCGGAGGUUCGAGUCCUUCCGCCCCAG